rnacentral:rRNA from 1 species
UACGUAGGGUGCAGGCGUUAAUCGGAAUUACUGGGCGUAAAGCGUGCGCAGGCGGUUUGCUAAGACAGGUGUGAAAUCCCCGGGCUUAACCUGGGAACUGCAUUGGUGACUGCAUCGCUCGAGUAUGGCAGAGGGGGGUAGAAUUCCACGUGUAGCAGUGAAAUGCGUAGAGAUGUGGAGGAAUACCGAUGGCGAAGGCAGCCCCCUGGGUCAAUACUGACGCUCAUGCACGAAAGCGUGGGGAGCAAACAGG